rnacentral:lncRNA from 1 species
GCGCCCGUCACAUGUUCGAUGAAAGUCCUUCUUUAUAUAUUUUUUGGAUUCCUUUGUUUUCUUUGGUUUCUUUUCCUUUCGUUUUUUCUUCCUUGUUUACUUGUAGUCCUGUGCCGUGUUGGGUCCUUGUUUACACAUAUUUUUGACUCUCUCUCCGUUAUGGUUGGUUUGUUCUUGGGGUCGCUUACAUUUUUCGAUGCAUUUCUUU